GGUUGGGCGCUGCGCAACGGUUGACGUGCCAACCCCGCCAGGUCUGGAAGGAAGCAACGGUCAACACGCUCGCCGUGUGCCGCAGACCUACCCAGCCGGA
rnacentral:SRP_RNA from 1 species